rnacentral:lncRNA from 1 species
AUCUAAUGGAUUUAAAAGUCCUAGAUCUUUUAGAUAAUUUAUCUUUUCAUUUGAUUAAUUUACUACUUUGAUAGUUCAUAAUUCAACAAACAAUCUCUUGUCUUUUUUCUUUAAAGCUCGUCCGAGCAAGUAUUUGAAUAUAUUUUUAAACCCAAUUCUUCGUAGGAUCGAUCCGUACUCAUCAGACGUGCUACAUUGUACACCAUGUGCUUGUGAUAAAUUUAAGAUAUAUCAAGUUUUUGAUGCUGU